CCUACGGGAGGCAGCAGUGGGGGAUAUUGCACAAUGGGGGAAACCCUGAUGCAGCGACGCCGCGUGGGCGAAGAAGUAUUUCUGUAUGUAAAGCCCUAUCAGCAGGGAAGAAGAAAUGACGGUACCUGAGUAAGAAGCACCGGCUAAAUCCGUGCCAGCAGCCGCGGUAAUACGUAUGGUGCAAGCGUUAUCCGGAUUUACUGGGUGGAAAGGGCGCGCAGGCGGCACGGCAAGCCUGAUGUGAAAGCCCGCGGCCCAACCGCGGGACUGCAUUGGGAACUACCGGGCUGGAGUGCCGGAGAGGUAGGCGGAAUUCCUAGUGGAGCGGUGAAAUGCGUAGAUAUUAGGAGGAACACCAGUGGCGAAGGCGGCCUACUGGACGGUGACUGACGCUGAGGCUCGAAAGCGUGGGGAGCAAACAGGAUUAGAUACCCUAGUAGUC
rnacentral:rRNA from 1 species